GAAACAGAGAUAGAUUCAUGCACGCCGGUUGAUUUCAUUGCACUUAUAUAUUAUUCAUGUAUCUUGAAAAGUGAUGAUCAAGCUAGUAUAUAUAUUUAUAUACAUUGUAUGCAUGUAGGUACGUACUUAGACACUGCUCUUGCUCAAAUGCAUAUAUACAUUCAAGUCCGAGCUGGAGAUUUCGCAUCUUAGUUUCAACAAACCUCAUUCUUUUAAUUUUGUUUUCUUCUUUUAAUUUCCUCUGUUUAUAUGUCCUUUAUGUGUUUUUAAUGUUUUGCAAAGUGAAAAACUCAAUAGUUUUGUUUUAGACUGAUGAGUGUGAACUUUAAAAUGCAUGGAUGUGUUAAAAGGGUUUUCAUCAUUUGUUUUCCGUGAUUUGAACUACAUACUUUAAUUUCUUAUUUUUCCCCUUCAUUGUAGAUGUUUUAGUUUAUGAAUCCUCUUGUAUUUUAUUUUAGUCUUUGCCGAAAAACUGAUUUUGAGAAGGAAACAGCUAAUUACGGUUAUUUUUUUUUUGUUUAUUUUUUUUUUUCUGUUUUCAUUUACUUACUACACGAUGUGUGUGAAUUGAUAAAUUUUCAUGUAGUUACAUAAUUGCAAGACCAAGUGAUCAGAGCUAUUGUUAUAAGGUAAGCCAAAUUAAGAAACCUGUUUUAUUUAUCACAUUUUAUCACUAAUAUUAAUUUUAACGCCCAAUUGUACGUAGUAAUUGGGGUUAAAAGAAGGAGGGUCUAAACCUGCGUAUAAUUAUAAUUAUAGUAAUUUCAUGUUUUUUACAUUUCGUUUUUUCUUUUCUUUUUCUGAUUAACAUUUAUUUAUUUUAAAAGUGAAACUUUGAUUCUGCUAAAAAAUGGGUAUUUGGCAUAAGCAGUUUGCACUAAGGCUUUUUUUGUUUUUUUCUCUUUUUNUUUUUUUUUUUUUUUUUUUUUUGCCAAGUUUUUGUUUCUGUAUUUUUGGGGUUCAAGGAAAGUUAAUAGAAAUUUUGUUCGAAAGGUAAAACCGUAAAACAUAAAUGUAGCCAUUCAGUAUACACUGUAUUUUGAUCAUCGUCGAGGUAUUAUAAGCAGUCGUUAUUUAUUUAUUAUGUAGAAUGUAAUUUUUUUUUUUUUUUGGUGAAUGCAUGCAUGUUUUUCUUUUUUCAAAAAAAUGUGAAUGCAUGCAUGUUGAUGUUGUCUAUAUAUAUAUAAAAAAGCCAUUAUUCACCGCAAAUAGGCCGUUGAUAUCUUAAUUAGCGUUGGGUAAUGUAUACCAUGGUCACGGAAUUAGUUCAAGAAAUUUUAUCCAGUCGGAACAUGUAAUUUGUACAAUAUCAUUUAUACAAUUAUACUAUUUAACAUUUAAUAAGUUUAUGAAAGUUCAAGAAGCAAUAAUUAUGUACUAAUCCAUGGAUUCAGAUAGAGUUUAAUUUAUAAAUCCUUCUACUUAAGAUGAAUAUUAUAUUUUUAUGCAUGUUAAGUAAGUAAAACUGAAGUAAUUGAUUUAUUUUCCGCAACUUUCAUUUUAACUUCCUUUUUCAAAAAAAAACUUUCAUUUUAACUUACUUUAUAAUAUAAUAUAUUUACCUUUGAUGCAGCGAGUUUAAGACCUUUUGAAAAUGUAGUUUGGAGAACUUUGUUUCACGUAUUGUAAAAUAGUAUGAAAAAUUUAAAUUAUUGUAAAAGCUAAUAUUUCGUCUAAAAAGGUUAAUUAUUGGGCUACGAAUACGAUUAAAAAUUAAUAUUUCGUUUAAAAAUGGUAAAAAGUUUAAACCAUCAGCAAAAUCAGUUGUGGUUGUGAGUGUUGAGUUGACCAAAAGGAAAAGAGAAGGUGAGAGCCGACAUAAAGAAAAAGAAAAAAAUAAGCGACGGUAAAUGGUAAAGUACCUACGGUAAAAAAAAAAGGAAACUCGAUAAUCCCGUAAAAUCGAAAAAAAAAAAAAACAGAGACGGCUAGAAAAAAAAAACUGGUAUGCGAGGAGAAGUCGCCGACGGAAGCGAGAGGCUAAUCAAGGCCGUAGUUACGUGCGACGGUAUUAGUCAAGGCCGUAGUUACGUGCGACGGUAUUAGUCUCCCGCGACGUUGAUUAGUCUCAUCCGGAAGAUACUUAUCUUUUGUAAGAUUCUUAGGUAGACUGUGUAGACUUGCAAAAGACAGCCUUUUCACAUCUUUGUUCACUGUCACACGAUGAAUCACGCUCUUUCCAUUAUCUGGAGCCCCUGGCUACUUUGGAGUAAGAUGGUCAGUGAGCUGAAGUCUGAGUGUGGUGGCAUUCCCAAGGCGAUUUCAGGUUCUGGACAUGUUGGAUAGCAGUUCACUGCCAUGACUUGCGACCCUUCUUCAAUCUCUUCUUCAUGGAGGAUUUGAUGGCCACAUAUCAAUCCACUUUGGGAGUGGAUGAGAGUAAUGCUUGAUGAAAUCUCUCCAGUAGUGGACACUGUCUGUUGAAUGGUUAAGGCUUGUGCCAUACCUUACUGGCUCAUGAACAUUUGCAGACACAAGAAGCAUCUUCUCCUCCACAGGCUAUGUUGAUCUCAUGGAUUGCACGGGAUCUAAGCGAAGGUUGGUGUAAAAGAGAGAGAUCAAUGAUAGGAAGUGUAGUCUCAGUGGUGCCUAAGCUUGAACCAAGAGCUGGCCUUUGCGAUGGGGGAAGAACGUAACGAUCAGGGACUUGAGGCACACCUGAAUUGGUUUACCGCCAUAUUCAUAAAAGAAAGGUGAAGGAUAUUUUGGUUUCCACUUUUGGGAAGAGAAAAAAAAACAUUAUAUGAGUGUUGACGUCAGUAAAGAGGAUGAGUAUCGGUCGAGAUUCAUGGACCCAGCACUAAAUAAGGAUGUUGUAGUCAGCUUGUAUCAUUUAUUUUUUAACAUGUUAUACUACAAAUAAAAAAGAAAAUAAAGAAACGGCUUUUAAGGGUGUUGAGAAUUGGGAAAAUAAAGAUGCAUGUUAAAAUGCAUCUGUACCCCAAACCCAAAGAGAUGUCUAAUGCUGAGUUGG